rnacentral:rRNA from 1 species
AGACUUUGAUCCUGGCUCAGAACGAACGCUGGCGGCGCGCCUAACACAUGCAAGUCGAACGAGAAUCCGGGGCAACCCGGUAGUAAAGUGGCAAACGGGUGAGGAAUGCAUGGGUAACCUACCCUUGAGAAGGGAAUAACCCGCCGAAAGGUGAGCUAAUACCCUAUACGCUUCUCUUUUUAUGAAGAGGGAAGGAAAGCUAAGCCGUGGGCUUGGCACUCAAGGAGGGGCUCAUGUCCUAUCAGCUUGUUGGUGGGGUAACGGCCUACCAAGGCUACGACGGGUAGCUGGUCUGAGAGGAUGAUCAGCCACACUGGCACUGAGAUACGGGCCAGACUCCUACGGGAGGCAGCAGUGAGGAAUAUUGCGCAAUGGGCGAAAGCCUGACGCAACGACGCCGCGUGGGGGAUGAAGGUUUUCCGAUUGUAAACCCCUUUUGUGAGGAAAGAAAAAGUGGGUAACCACUUAUACNGUCCUCNAGAAAAAACCCACNGCUAACNUCUUGCCACCANCCGCGGUUAUACCAAANGUGGCGAGCNUUGUUCCGGAU